GAAGUGUGGACGCCAGUCUGCAUGGAGCCGACCUUGAAAUACCACCCUUUAAUGUUUGAUGUUCUAACGUUGACCCGUAAUCCGGGUUGCGGACAGUGUCUGGUGGGUAGUUUGACUGGGGCGGUCUCCUCCUAAAGAGUAACGGAGGAGCACGAAGGUUGGCUAAUCCUGGUCGGACAUCAGGAGGUUAGUGCAAUGGCAUAAGCCAGCUUGACUGCGAGCGUGACGGCGCGAGCAGGUGCGAAAGCAGGUCAUAGUGAUCCGGUGGUUCUGAAUGGAAGGGCCAUCGCUCAACGGAUAAAAGGUACUCCGGGGAUAACAGGCUGAUACCGCCCAAGAGUUCAUAUCGACGGCGGUGUUUGGCACCUCGAUGUCGGCUCAUCACAUCCUGGGGCUGAAGUAGGUCCCAAGGGUAUGGCUGUUCGCCAUUUAAAGUGGUACGCGAGCUGGGUUUAGAACGUCGUGAGAC
rnacentral:rRNA from 1 species